UACGUAGGGGCCGAGCGUUGUCCGGAUUCAUUGGGCGUAAAGAGCGUGUAGGCGGCCGCUUAAGUCCUGCGUGAAAUCUCGGAGCUCAACUCCGAGCGGUCGUGGGAAACUGGGCGGCUAGAGUGCGGGAGAGGAGAGUGGAAUUCCUGGUGUAGCGGUGGAAUGCGCAGAUAUCAGGAAGAACACCCGUGGCGAAGGCGGCUCUCUGGGACGGUACUGACACUGAGACACGAAAGCGUGGGGAGCGAACAGG
rnacentral:rRNA from 1 species